CUUGCCUUCUGCCAUGUAAGAUAUGACUGUGCUCCUCCUUCACCUUCUGCCAUGAUUGUGAGGCCUCCACAGCCAUGUGGAACUCCAUGAGUAUGACUAUGUGCUGAGUCCUGUGAGUCCUCCUACUGAAUCAUCAAAGCCAGGGGGGAAGCUGUUUUUCCCUCUUUGGGGUCUCAGAGAGAUUGGUGGCAAGGACUCCUGGGAAGAGAAAAGCUGAAGGACACUCUGGCAAGAGCCUCAUGAAGAGAGAUAUUAAGGGAACAAGAGGUGCCCUGCAAAGAGAUGAAGCUCCAGGCUAAGGAAACCCCGAGCCAAACGUAUGGCCACCUCUGACCACUCGACCAGCCCAGCAUGGUGUACAUUUCUGGGUAGCUUAUCACGCCUUCCAAGCAUUGCCUUUAUCUUCCUUCUCCCCAUCAAGCCUGUAUUGUUUUCCUUUUGAAUCAUAAGCACUUUUGUUAAAUACCUCAAAUCUUUCGAGAACAGCAAGGAGCAAAAUAAACUUAACUUCUCU
rnacentral:lncRNA from 1 species